AGCGAACGCUGGCGGCGUGGAUAAGACAUGCAAGUCGAACGGGAUUACUUCGAGUAGCAAUACCCGAAGUAAUUUAGUGGCGAACGGGUGCGUAACACGUGGGGAAUCUGCCGAGAAGUGGGGGAUAGCUCGUCGAAAGGCGAAUUAAUACCGCAUAUGAUCAGGGAAGACAUCUUUCCAACAUCAAAGCCGGGGCAACCUGGCGCUUCUUGAUGACCCCGCCGGCCUAUCAGCUAGUUGGUGAGGUAACGGCCCACCAAGGCGAUGACGGGUAGCUGGUCUGAGAGGACGACCAGUUACACUGGAACUGAGACACGGUCCAGACACCUACGGGUGGCAGCAGUCGAGGAUUUUUCUCAAUGGGGGCAACCCUGAAGGAGCGACGCCGCGUGGAGGAUGAAGGCUUUCGGGUUGUAAACUACCUGUCAUUUGAGAAACAAGUGCCAACAAAGUAACUACUGUUGGCUUGAUAGUAUCAGAAGAGGAAGGGACGGCUAACUCUGUGCCAGC
rnacentral:rRNA from 1 species